GUUUCUCUCUUUUCCUCUCUUGCUGCACUGAAGUGGAGAUAGUAGCCGCAUCAAACAUCACGGAUAACCUCCCCUCUACACUGGGCUGCAGGGGGGGGUUGACUUCGCCCCCCCCCGAAAUGAUGAGGAAGAGCAUGAAUCAAACUGCUCCCGGGAGGCUCACAGGGAGAUGUGAGUCGUCAGCUUCGGCUCGGUGGCCAAGCCGCCGGCGGUCAGACUGGGAUCGCUUUCCCUCCAUCAGCAGGAUGUUAAGAGCCAAAACCCUGAGUGGUCUGCAAUGUGAGGCCUGAAAGACAGGGGUUGCAGAGCAGUUUAACAGCGAGUGCUAUGAGUUGGAAAAUGUGCGAUUUUCUCUGGAGGAUGUCAACUAAUCUACUCGGAUAAGAAACAUUCAAACGCAAUUUGACGAAACAACUACUGAAGCGCCAAACUAAUGCAAGUCCCAAGCGUCCUGCUUCACAACAACCUGCAACCGAUGGCUCUUCAGAACUGAGUGUACACAACCCCCAUACCAACCAAUUUCUCAUCUAACGCACGGAUCCACUCUACUAACAGGAGUCAAGUGGAGUCUAUAUUUCAAAGAGGGCACUGCGUUGUAGCUGAGGCAAUUACAAACAAGCUUUCACCCCCUGAAAAGCUGCCAACGAGUUUACGCCUCUGUCAGCAGUUUGCUUCGGGGCUUCUGUUGAAGCAACGUGAUGAUUUUCAGUCCCAGUUACUGUAUCAUGACCAAAGUUUGUCUACCUGCCUCGGGGGAAGUGAUAAAAAAACAAAAAAACACACGAGCACAACAGCAAAAAUCAAUGCUUUCUCAGAUGGACCCUCCCACACUCAACGACUGAUGGAAUGGAAAACCUGGUACUAUGGAAACCUGUAGACAACUUCCCCGGACAAAUGCAACAAUCCCUCAAAUGACUGUUGAUGACUGAAAACCAGUUGAGUGCU
ensembl:lncRNA